GUGAGAGAGACGAGGACGAGAGAACGGAGCGACCGUGAUGGAAGAACCAGCUCCAAACGCCGUCGAGGAAGCGGUAACUUUUGUUUCGAUGUCACCAAACGCCGCUAACUGAACCAGACGUCUGAGAUGACGGCGGCGAGUUCUAGAGUCCUGAUCUGUCAAUUGGUCGCCGGUUGUAACUUCUCCAUGGAAUUUGGCUGGUUAACGGGGAUAAUCCGGUGGAUCUGGCGACUGAGUUGGGUUCUGGUGUUUUUUAGUGCUCAAGGUUGUUAGAUUGGGUCAUCAGACUACAGGAUAGGGAAAUCUUCCGGCGGUGAACACAUGCUAUUUGAAAUGCAAGUCAAUGAUGGGUGCGACUAAAUCAAAGGUACCUUGGUGCAAGAGAGUAACAAAGCAUGUGAUUUACGAACAGCUUGCUGAAGGUCAAAUGGGAUGGGUUACAAUGUUACAUUGACU
rnacentral:lncRNA from 1 species